CAUUGUAAAAUUAUAUUUGAACUUUUACCUGCUGCAGGGCUUGCCGAUUAAUAUUAUUGUUGGUUCUCAUGUUUGGGUUGGAGAUCCAGAAUUAGUCUGGGUUGAUGGACAAGUUUCAAACAUUGAUGGUGAGGAAGCUGAGAUUCAAACUAGCAAUGGAAAGAUGAGCCUAUAUUUUUGUCAUACUUACAGUAUAAUAAAAGGCCAUGUGACCUUUGUCAAAAAAAAUGUAUGAUAAAAGAUUGGCAAUGAUCUUUCUCAAUUUGUGGGGCCUAUUAUCUUGAAUCAACUUCUACAGUUAGAAGAUGUUGUUGUGGAUGAGUUAAUGAGGAAGUUCUUCAAAAAUUAUACAAACUUGUGCAAAUUCUUUCCAAGAAAAAGCAAC